rnacentral:rRNA from 1 species
AGGAUCCGAGCGUUAUCCGGAUUCAUUGGGUUUAAAGGGUGCGUAGGUUGUUUUAUAAGUUAGCGGUGAAAUACCGAUGCUCAACAUCGGGGCUGCCGCUGAUACUGUAGGACUAGAGAUCGGAUGCAGCAGGCGGAAUGUGUAGUGUAGCGGUGAAAUGCAUAGAUAUUACACAGAACACCGAUUGCGAAGGCAGCUUGCUAGGCCGGAUCUGACACUGAUGCACGAAAGCGUGGGGAUCGAACAGGAUUAGAUACCCUGGUAGUCCACGCAGUAAACGAUGAUAACUAGUUGUCGGCGAUACACAGUCGGUAACCCAGCGAAAGCGAUAAGUUAUCCACCUGGGGAGUACGACCGCAAGGUUG